rnacentral:miRNA from 1 species
GACGUCGAUAUUCGACGUCAUAAACACGAUCAACUUUGGUCUUUAUGACGUCGAUAUUCGACGUCAUAAACACGAACAACUUUGGUGUUUAUGACGUCGAUAUUCGACGUCAUAAACACGAUCAACUUUGGUGCUUAUGACGUCGACGUUAUAAACACGAUCAACUUUGGUGUUUAUGACGUCGAUAUUCGACGUCAUAAACACGAUCAACUUUGGUGUUUAUGACGUCGAUAUUCGACGUCAUAAACCCGAUCAACUUUGGUGUUUAUGACGUCGAUAUUCGACGUC